GACAGAGGAUGCAAGCGUUAUCCGGAAUGAUUGGGCGUAAAGCGUCUGUAGGUGGCUUUUUAAGUCUGCCGUCAAAUCCCAGGGCUUAACCCUGGACAGGCGGUGGAAACUACCAAGCUGGAGUACGGUAGGGGCAGAGGGAAUUUCCGGUGGAGCGGUGAAAUGCGUAGAGAUCGGAAAGAACACCGGUGGCGAAGGCGGUGGUCUGGGCCUGAACUGACGCUGAGGAGCGAAAGCCAGGGGAGCAAACGGG
rnacentral:rRNA from 1 species